AAUAGAUACCCGGGUAGUCCAUGCCGUAAACGAUGAGUGCUAAGUGUUAGAGGGUUUCCGCCCUUUAGUGCUGCAGCUAACGCAUUAAGCACUCCGCCUGGGGAGUACGGCCGCAAGGCUGAAACUCAAAGGAAUUGACGGGGGCCCGCACAAGCGGUGGAGCAUGUGGUUUAAUUCGAAGCAACGCGAAGAACCUUACCAGGUCUUGACAUCCUCUUGCCCUCCCUAGAGAUAGGGAUUUCCCUUCGGGGACAAGAGUGACAGGUGGUGCAUGGUUGUCGUCAGCUCGUGUCGUGAGAUGUUGGGUUAAGUCCCGCAACGAGCGCAACCCUUGAUCUUAGUUGCCAGCAUUCAGUUGGGCACUCUAAGGUGACUGCCGGUGACAAACCGGAGGAAGGUGGGGAUGACGUCAAAUCAUCAUGCCCCUUAUGACCUGGGCUACACACGUGCUACAAUGGAUGGUACAAAGAGCUGCGAACCCGCGAGGGUAAGCGAAUCUCAUAAAGCCAUUCUCAGUUCGGAUUGU
rnacentral:rRNA from 1 species